AAUGAACGUUGGCGGCGUGGAUUAGGCAUGCAAGUCGAGCGCUCAUAGCAAUAUGGGAGCGGCGAACGGCGUAGUAAUACGUAGGAACGUACCCUCGGGUCGAGGAUAGCUAUGGGAAACUGUAGGUAAUACUCGAUAACCUCUGCGGAGCAAAGGUGUGAUUCCGCCCGAGGAGCGGCUUACGCGAUAUUAGCUAGUUGGUAGGGUAAUGGCCUACCAAGGCGAUGAUGUCUAGGGGGUGUGAGAGCAUGGCCCCCACGACCGGAACUGAGAUACUGUCCGGACACCUACGGGUGGCUGCAGUCGAGAAUCUUCCGCAAUGGACGAAAGUCUGACGGAGCGACGCCGCGUGCGGGAUGAAGGCCCUUGGGUUGUAAACCGCUGUCAGAGGGGAUGAAAUCUUCGGAGGUACUCCUCCGAAGUUGACAGAGCCUCAAAGGAAGCACGGGCUAAGUACGUG
rnacentral:rRNA from 1 species